CAGCCGCCACGGUAAUACGAAGGGGGCUAGCGUUGUUCGGAUUUACUGGGCGUAAAGGGCGCGUAGGCGGGCGAUUAAGUCAGAGGUGAAAUCCCAAGGCUCAACCUUGGAACUGCCUUUGAUACUGGUUGUCUUGAGUCCGGGAGAGGUGAGUGGAACUGCGAGUGUAGAGGUGAAAUUCGUAGAUAUUCGCAAGAACACCAGUGGCGAAGGCGGCUCACUGGCCCGGAACUGACGCUGAGGCGCGAAAGCGUGGGGAGCAAACAGGAUUAGAUACCCGGGUAGUCCCUGUCUCUUAUAC
rnacentral:rRNA from 1 species